GAGGAAAGUCCGGGCUUAUGAGUAGAUUUUGUUGCAGGAUAAGUUCCUGUACAAGUAAUUGUGAGGCUAGUGCCACAGAAAAGAAUACCGCUAUAUUUUAGUAAGGGUGCAAUGGUGUGUGUAACAUAAAUUAUGUGCCAGAUAAUUUUUUUUAUAUUAUCAAAUAUUUAUUGACAACAAGGCUUAAUAGUAAGUAAAAUCUUAUACAAGACGGUUUGAAUCGAUAUAACUGUUUUAUUGUUUCUCCUAUUUUAACACUCAAUUGCGACGAAACAUUCUGUUUAAGCUAUUUUUUCUUGUCUUAAGUUUUUAGCCUAAAUUGUUGGCUAGUUUAUAGGGAUACAUAAGUAUGAAUAGAAUAUAUAUAUAAAGGCAUUGUCAAAAAAGCUUUGAUGAGCAUUGUUUGUAUAAAUACGAUCUCCAUGUUCUUUGAACAGCUAUUGCUUAUUCAGUUAAAAGCAUACCAGUAAUACUGAGAAGUGUUAACUAGGUAAACCCCAACAAUAAGCAAAUUCGUUGAUUAAUUGUAACUACUUCAAAUGACGAUAAAAAAGUGCAAAAAGUUGUGAGCAAUUUUAACUUCAGAUAAAUAACCAUCCUUUUAAAUACAGACAUUAUUGUCAAUAUUUUAAAAGAACAAAACCCGGCUUAU
rnacentral:RNase_P_RNA from 1 species